rnacentral:rRNA from 1 species
UACGGGGGGAGCAAGCGUUGUUCGGAUUUACUGGGCGUAAAGGGCGCGUAGGCGGCCUCUGCAAGUCGACUGUGAAAUCUCCGGGCUUAACCCGGAACGGUCAGCCGAUACUGCAGGGCUAGAGUGCAGAAGGGGCAACUGGAAUUCUCGGUGUAGCGGUGAAAUGCGUAGAUAUCGAGAGGAACACCUGCGGCGAAGGCGGGUUGCUGGGCUGACACUGACGCUGAAGUGCGAAAGCUGGGGGAGCGAACGGG